rnacentral:lncRNA from 1 species
GGUUGGAAUGAUGGAUUGAUUGUAAUAAUGAUUUUUGAAGACAAUCUAUUUUUUUUAUUGAUGGUUACAAUAGGGUGAGUUGAUUUAAUAAAGGCUUUAGGAAUAGAGAACUCAUGUCUUGCAUUGCAGCUCGUACAUUGUCUAUGUUUCCAAUAAUAUUUUCUUAGUUAUGAAUAAUGAAUUUUUAUCUCCAUCUUCUAAUACAUU